rnacentral:rRNA from 1 species
GACGAACGCUGGCGGCGUGCCUAAUACAUGCAAGUCGAACGCUGAAGGAGGAGCUUGCUUCUCUGGAUGAGUUGCGAACGGGUGAGUAACGCGUAGGUAACCUGCCUGGUAGCGGGGGAUAACUAUUGGAAACGAUAGCUAAUACCGCAUAAGAGUAGAUGUUGCAUGACAUUUGCUUAAAAGGUGCAAUUGCAUCACUACCAGAUGGACCUGCGUUGUAUUAGCUAGUUGGUGGGGUAACGGCUUACCAAGGCGACGAUACAUAGCCGACCUGAGAGGGUGAUCGGCCACACUGGGACUGAGACACGGCCCAGACUCCUACGGGAGGCAGCAGUAGGGAAUCUUCGGCAAUGGACGGAAGUCUGACCGAGCAACGCCGCGUGAGUGAAGAAGGUUUUCGGAUCGUAAAGCUCUGUUGUAAGAGAAGAACGAGUGUGAGAGUGGAAAGUUCACACUGUGACGGUAGCUUACCAGAAAGGGACGGCUAACUACGUG